CCUACGGGUGGCAGCAGUGGGGGAUAUUGCACAAUGGGGGAAACCCUGAUGCAGCGACGCCGCGUGGGUGAAGAAGCGCCUCGGCGCGUAAAGCCCUGUCAGCAGGGAAGAAAAUGACGGUAUCUGAAGAAGAAGCCCCGGCUAACUACGUGCCAGCAGCCGCGGUAAUACGUAGGGGGCAAGCGUUACCCGGAUUUACUGGGUGUAAAGGGGGCGCAGGCGGGGAGGCAAGCCAGAUGUGAAAGCCCGGGGCCCAACCCCGGGACUGCUCUUGGAACUGCGUGGCUAGAGUGCAGGAGGGGCAGGCGGAAUUCCUGGUGUAGCGGUGAAAUGCGUAGAUAUCAGGAGGAACACCGGUGGCGAAGGCGGCCUGCUGGACUGCAACUGACGUUGAGGCCCGAAAGCGUGGGGAGCAAACAGGAUUAGAUACCCUUGUAGUC
rnacentral:rRNA from 1 species